rnacentral:rRNA from 1 species
UACGUAGGGUGCGAGCGUUGUCCGGAAUUAUUGGGCGUAAAGGGCUCGUAGGCGGUCCGUCACGUCGGGAGUGAAAACUUGGGGCUUAACCCCAAGCCUGCUUCCGAUACGGGCGGACUAGAGGUAGGCAGGGGGAGAACGGGAAUUCCUGGAUGUAGCGGUGAAAUGACGCAGAUAUCAGGAGGAACACCGGUGGCGAAGGCGGUUCUCUGGGCCUUACCUGACGCUGAGGAGCGAAAGCGUGGGGAGCAAACAGG